GAAAUACGUACAGUCUAUGGGAAAUACAAGCAGUGGUGAAUAUACAUCCUCGAAUAAAAGGUUCACAUUGUACUGUGUGCCCCCGGAUGUUGAUCGAUCUUUCUUGGGGGGAACUGCAGAGAAAAUGGCAGAACAAUCAAGAGGUCCAGAUCAGGCCCAAAUCCAGGACUGGAAAAUGUUACCUGGUCUGUUCUUACCCCCAUAUAUUUAUUUAUUUAUGAGUGAUAUGGCUGGCUGAAUACAAACAGUUCCAUGUGGACCGGAGGGCCCAGCUGUCAGGCUGGAUGGGUGGAGUCGUGAACUGCACGGAGUGUGUGAAGAUAAAUGUCUUUUUUUAACCAAGCAAGGGAAAUUAUUUUAUUUAGAUGAAAUCACAAGGC